CACCAGUGAGAAAUUGAACUGCACCGCCCCGAUCUCGUCUGAUCUCAGAAGCUAAGCACGCCCGGCCUGGUUAGAACUGGGAUGGGAGACUGCUGAAAACACAAGCUGCAGCAGUGC
rnacentral:rRNA from 1 species